rnacentral:rRNA from 1 species
GCCUCAGUAACGGCGAGUGAAGCGGCAACAGCUCAAAUUUGAAAUCUGGCCCCUCCGGGUCCGAGUUGUAAUUUGCAGAGGAUGUUUCGGGUACCGCUCCGGUUUAAAUUUCUUGGAACAGAAUGUCAGAGAGGGUGAGAAUCCCGUCUUGGACCGGCGGUAGGGCCCAUGUGAAACUCCUUCGACGAGUCGAGUUGUUUGGGAAUGCAGCUCAAAAUGGGUGGUAAAUUUCAUCUAAAGCUAAAUAUUGGCCAGAGACCGAUAGCGCACAAGUAGAGUGAUCGAAAGAUGAAAAGCACUUUGAAAAGAGAGUUAAACAGUAUGUGAAAUUGUUGAAAGGGAAGCGCUUGCAACCAGACUUGUGCGCGGCGGUUCCCCCUUCCUUCUGGUUGGGUUACUCCGCCGCGUCCAGGCCAACAUCGGUUCUGGGGGUCGGUCAAAGGCCUUGGGAAUGUACCUACCCUUCGGGCGUAGACUUAUAGCCCUCGGUGUCAUGCGGCCUCCCGGGACCGAGGAACGCGCUUCGGCUCGGAUGUUGGCGUAAUGGUUGUCAGCGACCCGUCUUGAAACACGGACCAAGGAGUCUAACAUCUAUGCGAGUGUUUGGGUGUCAAACCCGGAACGCGGAAUGAAAGUGAACGGAGGUAGGAAGCUUCGGCUGCACUAUCGACCGAUCCUGAUGUCUUCGGAUGGAUUUGAGUAAGAGCAUAGCUGUUGGGACCCGAAAGAUGGUGAACUAUGCCUGAAUAGGGUGAAGCCAGAGGAAACUCUGGUGGAGGCUCGCAGCGGUUCUGACGUGCAAAUCGAUCGUCAAAUUUAGGUAUAGGGGCGAAAGAC